rnacentral:RNase_P_RNA from 3 species
GAAGCACGCCAGACCGCCGCCGGUGCAAGCUGGGAAACCAGGCACUGGAGGAACGUCCGGACUGCACAGGGCAGCGUAGCAGCUAACGGCUGUCCACCGCGAGGUGAGGAUCAGAGCAACAGAGACGAGUCCCGGGGGAGUGCCGCGAGGCAGACCACCGGGGGUGCAACGGGCAAUCUCUACGCGCAGCAACACCAAGUAGGCACACGUUGACGGGGCCCCCGGAGUGUGCGGGUAGGUGGCAUCGAGCCGGUGGGGCGACCCCCGGCCCAGAUUGAUGGCGGUCACAUGCGGGCAACCGCAUGCACAGAAUCCGGCUUAUCGGCGGGCUUCACAC